rnacentral:rRNA from 1 species
UACGUAGGGUGCGAGCGUUUGUCCGGAAUUUAUUUGGGCGUAAAGGGCUCGUAGGCGGUUUUUUGUCACGUCGGGGAGUGAAAACUCAGGGCUCAACCCUGAGCCUGCUUUUCCGAUACGGGCAGACUAGAGGUAUGCAGGGGAGAACGGAAUUUCCUGGUGUAGCGGUGAAAUGCGCAGAUAUCAGGAGGAACACCGGUGGCGAAGGCGGUUUCUCUGGGCAUUUACCUGACGCUGAGGAGCGAAAGCAUGGGGAGCGAACAGG